rnacentral:rRNA from 1 species
AGUAAUGUCUGGGAAACUGCCUGAUGAGGGGGAUAACUACUGGAAACGGUAGCUAAUACCGCAUAACGUCGCAAGACCAAAGUGGGGGACCUUCGGGCCUCAUGCCAUCAGAUGUGCCCAGAUGGGAUUAGCUAGUAGGUGGGGUAACGGCUCACCUAGGCGACGAUCCCUAGCUGGUCUGAGAGGAUGGCCAGCCACACUGGAACUGAGACACGGUCCAG